CAUUUUUGUAAAAGCAACGAAAAAGAGAGACGCACAGAAAAUCCAAAAGGAGAGAAAGACAAAAAGAAGAGAGAGAGACAUAGACACUGGACGGGCGCGUACGUGUGUGCCGGUAAGGACCACGGCCACGGCCGGCAGCGAGGGCGAGCGCACCGACAGAGCCUCUAGGCGUCCGCUGCCCUCGGCGACGACCGAACCGACGACGAUGGUGCACGCGCGCCCCGCGCCCACGAGGCCGAUGCCCGGCGGCAGGACAAUAUCCUCGGCGUAGACGCCCGGAGCGGCGCGCACCGUCCACGGGACAACGGCCAGAGAGGGCGCGGCGAGGUCAGCGGCGACGGCCGUCGCCAGCGGCGACAGUCCGCGUAUGGCGUCGAUGGCACCCUUGACGGUGCGAUAGGGCCGCGCCGGAUCGUAAAGGCGGCCACAUGCGUCGCCGCGCGACAUGACGGCGUCCACAAAGGCCGUCUGGGCGACGCGGACGCCAUGGGGUUCGCGACGGGCGCGCAUGUCUGCCGCUCCCACGUGUGUCAUGGUCGAUUCCCGCCUCUCUCUUUUUUCCUCCUUCUCUCUCCUUUUCUUGUGCGGCGGUUGUUUAUCAGGGGGUCUCUUGUUUUUCGUUGGGAGAGGCGUGGCAGGUCGAGUGACGUUGCUUUUCUGUGCGGCCAAACUUGGUGUUUUCUUGCCUGCGUUGGGGGGAUGCUCUUUGGUCUGGGAUCUGCAUUUCGAUCACGGCAACGGUCGCGGCCCGGCACCCGUGUUUUUUUUUCUCAAAACAAAAAAGAGACAGGAAAA
rnacentral:lncRNA from 1 species